AUGAUGAUGAUGAGCGAGGGAGUGAGCGUGCCGCCGUGGGGCAACCACCUCCCGGUGAGCGGCGUCGACGCCGGCGGCGGCGGAGGCGGCGACGAGACGCCGUUCCUGUUCGCGGCGCUGCGCCAGUACCUGCCGUGCAACGACGUGCUCGGCGGCGCGGGCGCGGGCGCCGAGGACGAGGACGAGGCGGCGGCCGUGGCGGCCGCGGUGGACGCCUACGCCUGCGACGAGUUCCGCAUGUACGACUUCAAGGUGCGCCGGUGCGCGCGCGGCCGCAGCCACGACUGGACCGAGUGCCCCUUCGCGCACCCGGGGGAGAAGGCGCGCCGCCGCGACCCGCGCAAGUACCACUACUCCGGCACCGCCUGCCCGGACUUCCGCAAGGGCGGCUGCAAGCGCGGGGACGCCUGCGAGUACGCGCACGGCGUCUUCGAGUGCUGGCUCCACCCGGCGCGCUACCGCACGCAGCCCUGCAAGGACGGCACCGCCUGCCGCCGCCGCGUCUGCUUCUUCGCCCACACCCCGGACCAGCUCCGCGCCAUGCCGUCCCAGCACUCCAGCCCCAGGAGCACGCCCCUGUCGCCGCUCGCAGAGUCCUACGACGGCUCGCCGCUCCGUCGCCAGGCGUUCGAGAGCUACCUCAGCAAGAGCAUCAUGUCCUCCUCGCCCACCAGCACCCUGCUCUCCUCGCCGCCCAAGUCGCCCCCGUCCGAGUCGCCGCCAUUGUCCCCCGACGGGGCCGCCUCCUUCCGCCGCGGCUCUUGCGGCUCUUGGCCCGGCGUUGGGUCGCCUGUCAAUGACGUCCUCGCCUCGCUCCGCCAGCUGCGCCUCGCCAAGGCGCAGGCGUCGCCGUCCGGUGGGUGGUCCGGCUACCCCACCUCACCUGCCGCCUACGGCUCGCCCAAGGCCGCCGGCCUCUACAGUCUCCCCACCACCCCCAUGGGCGCACAGACUGGCGCCUCCAGCUUCAUGCCCAACCUGGAGCCACUGAACCUCCGCUUCCUCGACGACGAGGAGCCUGUCCAGAGGGUGGAGUCCGGGAGGGCCCUCCGCGAGAAGGUGUUCGAGCGGCUGAGCCGAGACGGCGCCGCACCGCGCAGCUGCGAGGUCGGUGCCGGAGCAGGAGGCCCCGACGUCGGCUGGGUCUCCGACCUCAUCAACUGA
rnacentral:rRNA from 1 species